AAUAGAUGCACGCGCUCGCAAUCUUCCACACACAUGAAAAUACUAAAUAUCACCGUGACUAAAAUUUUGCUGGCAGCUGAUAAUUUUCUCCAAGCAUUUUCAGGAAGCGCACCCAUAAUGCCUCGUAUUUAAGCCCAGAUGUACAGAACCAAAUUAUAGAAAUUUGUGGUCAAAUUAUUAAAGCAUUAUGGGAUGCAAAAGUAAACGCUGCAGGCUGCUUCUCCAUACUUUCUGACAAAACGACGGAUGUUGCUGGAAUCGAACAGCUUACUGUUUGUGCAAGGUACCUAAACAAGGAUGCCAACGACAUCGAAGGAGUGUUUUUAGGUUUUAGCACCAGAAUAGAUGCCCUCUCUCAUUGCGACUUCAGGUUCUAUGUAAAUGUGUACAAACUGCUGCAUAUUCUAGU